rnacentral:rRNA from 1 species
UAAUAGCGUAUAUUAAAGUUGUUGCAGUUAAAAAGCUCGUAGUCGGAUGUCGGGCUCGGGGAGGCUGUCGGCCUUUGGUCGGACGGCAUGUCCGGGCCUUUCUGCCUGGGGAUCCUAUUCUACUUAACUGUAGGGUAGUGGGACGCAGGCCGUUUACUUUGAAAAAAUUAGAGUGUUCAAAGCAGGCCUACGCUUGAAUACAUUAGCAUGGAAUAAUGGAAUAGGACUUUGGUCUUAUUUGUUGGUUUAUGGGACCGAAGUAAUGAUUAACAGGGACAGUCGGGGGCAUUAGUAUUCAGACGACAGAGGUGAAAUUCUUGGACCGUCUGAAGACUAACUACUGCGAAAGCAUUUGCCAAGAGUGUUUUCAUUAA